rnacentral:tRNA from 1 species
GCUUUCGCGGUGUAGUGGUCAGCACGCUCGACGCGCAACCGAGAGGUCCGUGGUUCAAUUCCCGGAGAAGGCG